GCUAAACGCGAAGAACCUUACCAGGCCUUGACAUGCAGAGAACUUUCCAGAGAUGGAUUGGUGCCUUCGGGAACUCUGACACAGGUGCUGCAUGGCUGUCGUCAGCUCGUGUCGUGAGAUGUUGGGUUAAGUCCCGCAACGAGCGCAACCCUUAUUGACAGUUGCCAAUAUUAAGUUAGGAACUCUGUCAAGACUGCCGUUGAUAAAACGGAGGAAGGUGGGGACGAUGUCAAGUCAUCAUGGCCUUUAUGUUCAGGGCUACACACGUGCUACAAUGGAUGGUACAAAAACGUCGCAAUCCUGCAAAGGGGAGCUAAUCGCAAAAACCAUUCUCAGUUCGGAUCGGAGUCUGCAACUCGACUCCGUGAAGUUGGAAUCGCUAGUAAUCGCAAAUCAGCAUGUUGCGGUGAAUACGUUCCCGGGUCUUGUACACACCG
rnacentral:rRNA from 1 species